rnacentral:rRNA from 1 species
CCUACGGGAGGCAGCAGUGGGGAAUAUUGGACAAUGGGGGGAACCCUGAUCCAGCCAUGCCGCGUGUGUGAAGAAGGCCCUCGGGUUGGAAAGCACUUUCAGUGAGGAAGAACGCCUGGUGGUGAAUACCCAUCAGGAAAGACAUCACUCACAGAAGAAGCACCGGCUACACUCCGUGCCAGCAGCCGCGGUAAUACGGAGGGUGCGAGCGUUAAUCGGAAUUACUGGGCGUAAAGCGCGCGUAGGUGGCUUGAUAAGCCGGUUGUGAAAGCCCCGGGCGCAACCUGGGAACGGCAUCCGGAACUGUCAAGCUAGAGUGCAGGAGAGGAAGGUAGAAUUCCCGGUGUAGCGGUGAAAUGCGUAGAGAUCGGGAGGAAUACCAGUGGCGAAGGCGGCCUUCUGGACUGACACUGACACUGAGGUGCGAAAGCGUGGGUAGCAAACAGGAUUAGAUACCCGAGUAGUC